CAGGCUCACCUGGGCCUAAAGAAAUAUCUUUCUACAGUCUGUUGGACAUUUCCAAAAUUUGGAAAUGUAAUGGUCAAUUCAUUGGAAAGAAACAUUU
rfam:Neotoma lepida isolate 417 scaffold_1025, whole genome shotgun sequence.